rnacentral:lncRNA from 1 species
ACCAUAUCUUAAUUUUGUUAAAUGUAUUCCGCGCUAUUAUGCUUAGUUUGGUAUUGAGGUUCGCUAUUAGAUAAAAUGGAGUUGGAAAAGAAAUUUAUCCAUUUCAUUUUUCGAGGUCUCAAAAAAAGGGCAUGGAGGUGUAAAAAUAUGUAGGAAUAUACUUCUGCAUUCUCCGAUACGUGAGACCGCAGAAAAUAUAUCGUAAUCGACUUAUCGCGAUAUACGGAAUGCGAUAUUACGUACGGAAACAAACAAAAUAUUUUUCCAAUAUACUUUCUCACCACACAUAACGCAAUCUUCCCGCAAUCCCAAACGAAGUCUAAAUCUAAUUGCACGCUUUUUAACAAAAAGAAAAAUAAAGUAAAAUCAUACAGAUAAGGCUAUCUGACCUUUCAAAACUUUGAUAUUACUAUACGAUUUUUUAAUUUAUUUGAUUUGAUUCAAUCAACAAUAUUUUGACUUCAAAAAUUUAAGUUAAUUACUAACUUUAAUAAAUAUAUAAUUGCAAGAAUUGUAUGAAAUAUACUAACUAAAUGUGUAAAAAUAAACGACACAUUUAAAUUUUAAAGUUAAAAUGUCCGUUGGCCGACUCAAAUCAAGAAAAUUAAAAAAUUUAAAAAGGUCAGAUUAUCGUUGCAA